rnacentral:rRNA from 1 species
GAUGAACGCUGGCGGCGUGCUUAACACAUGCAAGUCGAACGAAGCACUUUACUACGAUUUCUUCGGAAUGACGGUUUUGUGACUGAGUGGCGGACGGGUGAGUAACGCGUGGAUAACCUGCCUCAUACAGGGGGAUAACAGCCGGAAACGGCUGCUAAUACCGCAUAAGCGCACGGUACCGCAUGGUACAGUGUGAAAAACUCCGGUGGUAUGGGAUGGAUCCGCGUCUGAUUAGCCAGUUGGCGGGGUAACGGCCCACCAAAGCGACGAUCAGUAGCCGACCUGAGAGGGUGACCGGCCACAUUGGGACUGAGACACGGCCCAAACUCCUACGGGAGGCAGCAGUGGGGAAUAUUGCACAAUGGGGGAAACCCUGAUGCAGCGACGCCGCGUGAGCGAAGAAGUAUUUCGGUAUGUAAAGCUCUAUCAGCAGGGAAGAAGAAAUGACGGUACCUGACUAAGAAGCCCCGGCUAACUACGUG